rnacentral:rRNA from 1 species
AUUGAACGCUGACGGCAUGCCUUACACAUGCAAGUCGAACGGCAGCACGGGAGCAAUCCUGGUGGCGAGUGGCGAACGGGUGAGUAAAGUAUCGGAACGUGCCCAGUCGUGGGGGAUAACGUAGCGAAAGUUACGCUAAUACCGCAUACGAUCUAUGGAUGAAAGCGGGGGAUCGCAAGACCUCGCGCGAUUGGAGCGGCCGGUAUCAGAUUAGGUAGUUGGUGGGGUAAAGGCUCACCAAGCCGACGAACUGUAGCGGGUCUGAGAGGACGACCGGCCACACUGAGACUGAGACACGGCCCAGACUCCUACGGGAGGCAGCAGUGGGGAAUUUUGGACAAUGGGCGAAAGCCUGAUCCAGCCAUGCCGCGUGCAGGAUGAAGGCCUUCGGGUUGUAAACUGCUUUUGUACGGAACGAAAAGGUUUGGCCUAAUAAGCUGAGCUCAUGACGGUACCGUAAGAAUAAGCACCGGCUAACUACGUGCCAGCCGCCGCAGUAA